UACGUAGGGUGCAAGCGUUGUCCGGAAUUAUUGGGCGUAAAGAGCUCGUAGGCGGUCUGUCGCGUCUGCUGUGAAAACUCAGGGCUUAACCCUGAGCUUGCAGUGGGUACGGGCAGACUAGAGUGCGGUAGGGGAGACUGGAAUUCCUGGUGUAGCGGUGAAAUGCGCAGAUAUCAGGAGGAACACCGGUGGCGAAGGCGGGUCUCUGGGCCGUAACUGACGCUGGAGGAGCGAAAGCAUCGGGGAGCGAACAGG
rnacentral:rRNA from 1 species